CAGGUAGGACUACCCGCUGAACUUAAGCAUAUCAAUAAGCGGAGGAAAAGAAACUAACAAGGAUUCCCCUAGUAACUGCGAGUGAAGCGGGAAAAGCUCAAAUUUAAAAUCUGGCGGUCCUUGGCCGUCCGAGUUGUAAUCUAGAGAAGCAUUACCCAUGCUGGACCGUGUGCAAGUCUCCUGGAAUGGAGCGUCAUAGAGGGUGAGAAUCCCGUCUCUGACACGGCUACCAGCAUUCUGUGGUACGCUCUCAAAGAGUCGAGUUGUUUGGGAAUGCAGCUCAAAAUGGGUGGUAAAUUCCAUCUAAAGCUAAAUAUUGGCGAGAGACCGAUAGCGAACAAGUACCGUGAGGGAAAGAUGAAAAGAACUUUGGAAAGAGAGUUAAACAGUACGUGAAAUUGCUGAAAGGGAAACGCUUGAAGUCAGUCGCGUCAGUUGGGGAUCAGCCUCGCAUUUGCGUGGUGUACUUUCCAGUUGACGGGUCAGCAUCAAUUUUGACCGCUGGAAAAAGGCUUAGGGAAUGUGGCAGCUCCGGCUGUGUUAUAGCCCUUUGUCACAUACAGCGGUUGGGAUUGAGGAACUCAGCACGCCGCAAGGCCGGGUUUCGACCACGUUCGUGCUUAGGAUGCUGGCAUAAUGGCUUUAAGCGACCCGUCUUGAAACACGGACC
rnacentral:rRNA from 1 species